GCUUCAUGAAUGGUGAAGCAGUUCUGCAAACAUCUCAUUCUUACUUUCCUUCUCUAUCCCCCUUUCACUCCCAAUUUCUGCCUCUAUUCAAUACAUAACAAAAAAAAAAAAAAAUGGGAGUCAGGCAGUAGCGCAGCGGGUUAAGCGCAGGUGGCGCAAAGCACAAGGACCGGCAUAAGGAUCCCGGUUCGAACCCCGGCUCCCCACCUGCAGGGGAGUCACUUCACAGGCGGUGAAGCAGGUCUGCAGGUGUCUAUUUUUCUCUCCUCCUCUCUGUCUUCCCCUCCUCUCUCCAUUUCUCUCUGUCCUAUCCAACAACGAUGACAACAACAAUAAUAACUACAACAAUAAAAAACAACAAGGGCAACAAAAGGGAAUAAAUAAAUAAAAUAAAAUAAAAAAAAGAAAAG